AUGUGCCCCCAUAGCGCUCCAUAUAACCCCAUAGAGCUCCACGUUGCCCCACAGCACUCCAUGUGGCCCCAUAGCGCUCCAUAUUACCCCAUAGCGCUCCGUGUGUCCCCAUAGCCCUCCAUAUUACCCCAUAGCACUCCUUGUGACCCCAUACACCUCAUAUUACGCCCAAUAGCGAUCCAUAUUAACCCCAUAUCGAUCCAUAUUACCCCCUAUGAGCUCCCAUGUGGCCCCAUAGCACUCCAAUAUACCCAUAGCACUCCAUGUGGCCCAUAAGCCACUCUGUGUGGCCCCAUAGCACUCCAUAUUACCCCAUAGCGCUCCAUAUUACCCCAUAGUACUCCAUAUCACCCCAUAGCGCUCCAUAUUACCCCAUAGCGCUCCAUAUAGCCCCAUAGCGCUCCAUAUUACCCAUAGCCACCCCAUAUACCCCAUACAAACUCCAUAUUACCCCAUAGCACUCCAUGUUACCCCAUAGCACUCCGUGUUACCCCAUAGCACUCCGUGUUACCCCAUAGUGCUCCAUAUAGCCCCAUAGCGCUCCAUAUAACCCCAUAGCACUCCAUAUUACCCCAUAGCGCUUCCAUAUUACCCAUAGCACCUCCAUGUGACCCAUAGCAACGUCCAUAUAUUACCCAUAGCAUUCCAUUAUCACCCCAUAGCAUAUCCAUAUUACCCCAUAGCAUUCCAUAUAACCCCAUAGCAUUCCAUAUUACCCCAUAGCAUUCCAUAUAACCCCAUAGCACUCCAUACUACCCCAUAGCGCUCCAUGUUACCCCAUAGCACUCCAUAUUACACCAUAGCGCUCCAAUUACCCCAUACAGAGCCUUCGUGUUGGCACCAUAGCAACUCCAUAUUA
rnacentral:lncRNA from 7 species